GUAUUCUGCACGGACUGCUGGGCAGCACUAGCACUCUGGAGAAGGUCUGCCGCUGUCUGCACUUUCCUGGUGAGAAUCCCCAAUGACAGUCCCACUUUUCAGUGGAGGAGAACAAAAUAUCUGUCUACUCUCUUGAAGAAGGACACGGCUUUGAUCAUAUUUGUUCAGGCUUGACUUGGCCGGAGGUUUUAGGUUCUUAGUCUCAAGUCAGCAGUCUCUCUCUCUCUCUCUCUCUCUCUCUCUCUCUCUCUCUCUGAAACACACACACACAGAGACGCACACACACACAAGCACACACAUACACAAGCGCAAAUCCUCUCUUUCUCUUUCUCUCAUUUCCCGUCAUAGGUUCUAUGCAGGCAGAUGAGUGUCACAGCUGUAACUGAGGCACAGAGCAGUACACACAGUGGAGCCGAUUUCCGCGAUGGCGAGAGGGGGCACCGGAGGUGACAACAAUAACAAGACUGUCCUUCGGACAAGUUUUAGCGCUGAAUAUCUUCAGGAAAAUGGGUUCCAUGAGAAGUGACAUCCUCCUCGAAUCAAAAGGAAGAAUGACUUGGGCAAUACCAAAUGUUGAGUUAUCAAGUAUUUCGAUACCCAUAUGCAUCAUCUGCUAUUCUCAGGAUGAUGGAGUGAGUGAUGGAAUAGGUUGCCAACUGUAGUUACUCCACUCAGCACAGAAUGGCUGCGGGGAAAUAUAAUCAGACAUGCCCAAAGAAGUCUGCUUAGGGUGAAACAAAUACCUUUGAGGUUUAAAUCAGGAAGGAGAGACUGUUUCUACAGGUGUCAUACAAAAAUCAAUACUGAGCCAAGGAUUAUUGGAUCCCAUAGAACCACGGAGACUUGGUAGUGAAAUUCUUCCAAAGCAUUCCAUCCGUGCAGGCAGAUGGUGUUCCUAGGUUUGGAAAUAUAAAUCCCAUGGGAAGUCAGCUGAAGACCAUUUUAUGCAUCACUCAUCCUGUUAGAGCCCUGUGCUGUUCUGUCUCUCUAUAAGACUGGCUGAAACCACCACGGUUGUUUACAAUUUAUGCUCUAACUUUGGAUCACCUAGUUAAUACUCUAACUCCGAUUAUUACCAAAGACAAUGUUCUAUAAAAGAUAUUGUCUAUUAGAAGGAUGCUUCUGCAUUAUUAAUAAAAUCACAGGGAAAAUGCAACAUUUUGGAUGUCACAUCUGAUAAGUUGGCAGUUAAAGAACAGAAACAGCAAUAAGACUGCGUGGCUACAUUUUCCCAGUGCCACCAACUGGGAUUUAAGCUGACUAACAUUUUGAAAGCCCAGCCCAUUUCAUUCACAGCAGGAUGGCAGUGGGUGACUGAUCGUACCCGCCAGCUGGCUAAUGUCAUAAUUAACAAAGUUGCUACUACAUCUGCAAAGUUUAAUCGAAAAAUUUGCCAGUGAUAUGAUGGCCUUGUCACAGAGAUCACAAGGGACACGGAGUUGACUUUUGCUCAAGGUGGAACGACAGAGCUGUGUAGGCAAGAUGAGAAAUUGCGAACUUGUUCGGCCAAAGGAGGCUAAUAAUGAAGGGGCCGGGAAGGAGGCCAGUGCUACCAGGGUUAUCUCACAACCUCAGAUGCUGGAUAAGUCGACGGAGGCAGAAUCGCUUUGGGAUGACAUUCAGAAAGCCUGGAGUGAUUACUUGCAAGAGAAAAGCCUACCUAUUCUUUCCAAGGUGCAGGAAUAUUCCCCUGACCUGCUCAUCCAGUGGUCCAGUAAUGAAUUACUGGAGACCUGCCUUAGACAAAGAAUGCACUCGGAGCCCCAACACACCUAAAGCCAUGCUUUGAAGGAUCUGCCAAGCUCACUUUUAAUCAUGAGAAAGAAAUUACCCACACGGAGUCAGCAGAAAAUGAGAAAGUAGAGCUCGUGCUGUGAAUAAUUCCAGCAAGUGCCAAGGGGCUAGUUGAGGAAUGGCUUCAUGAGAACAUGCUCUAGGGGAACUAUUAAUAGCCCACCAGUCGGGUAGGCAGCAUUCAAUCCUUCUAUGCCUUCUUUCGCCACCUGUUGAGGUCUUUCUUCUGAAACAAAGAAGAAAUAGACAAAUCAGACUUGCCCUCUUGGAAAUGUGGUCCAGAUUUCUCUACUCCCAAGCUCCAAAAAAGGUAUACAUUGGAUGGGCUAGAUCAACUCCUCCUGAGAGCCAUAAAUCCGCCAAGAGUUGUUUUCCAUGUAAGGGUGUGGUACAAUGGGGAACACCUGAUGUUGGAGGAAAGCAGGAGGACUUUAGAGUGGAGUUGCAUUCUAAUCUCUCUGCCGCUUCAACUAUGUGACCUGGGGCAAAUGAUAUAAACUCUAUGAGCCUCUUUCCUUAUCUUUAAAAUGAAGAGAAGUAAUACCUACCUUGUAGGGCUGUUGUGAGGAUUAAAUGAAGUAAUGCAUACAGUGCCUAACAAAGUAUUUAACAUCAUAUUUUUUAAAAGCUCAUGAAAUAUUAGUUUUUCUUCCUUCCCCUCUUUCUAUUUUCUCUCCUGUUCCCUUUUCUCUCCCUCCUCUGCCCUCUCCUUCCUUCAGAUGUUAGUCUAAAACAGCACCUUGGAUCUAAGCAGCACCUUUGAGAAAGAAAAGACUGCUUCAAGAAUGUCUAGUUGCACCUCCUUUCCGUAUGUGGCCUAAAUGCCUAGGUUGGAUCAAUAGUUUAAUUUUUUUAUUGAACUGUUUAAUAUUGACUAUGGACUUACAUUCACUUUUACUGUUUUCUGUAUAUUUACUUUUGCUUGAAGUGUUUUAAUAUUGACUAUUUACCUCUGCUCAUUUUUAUUGAUUUUCUGUAUUUUUUCAAUGAAAAUUAUAAUAAAAAUUAUUUUUGUUA
rnacentral:lncRNA from 1 species